AUGAAUAUACCGGUUCUCGUUAGAUCACCGAAGUCAAGCAUCAUUGGGCGCGGUCAGUACUUGGGUGGGUGACCACCUGGGAACACCGCGUGCCGUU
rnacentral:rRNA from 1 species